rnacentral:rRNA from 1 species
GACAGAGGAUGCAAGCGUUAUCCGGAAUGAUUGGGCGUAAAGCGUCUGUAGGUGGCUUUUUAAGUCCGCCGUCAAAUCCCAGGGCUCAACCCUGGACAGGCGGUGGAAACUACCAAGCUGGAGUACGGUAGGGGCAGAGGGAAUUUCCGGUGGAGCGGUGAAAUGCGUAGAGAUCCGGAAGAACACCGGUGGCGAAGGCGGUCUGCUGGGCAGUUGCUGACACUGAGGCGCGAC